AUGAUCUCUACAUCCCUACUGCUGCUGCUGCUGGCAGCCGUACACUGUGUUCACUGUGUUGAGCUGAUCCAGACCGGAUCCACAGUAUUAACUCCUGGUCAGUCACUGACUCUGACCUGUAAAGUGUCUGGAUAUUCAUUAACUGAUAGCAGCUACUGUACAAGCUGGAUACGACAACCUGCAGGAAAAACUCUGGAGUGGAUCGGACGUAUAUGUUCUAGCGGUGGCACUGUCUACAGUGAGAAACUGAAAAGCAGGUUUCAGGUUUCCAGAGACACGUCCAGCAGCACAGUGACAUUAACAGGACAGAACAUGCAGACUGAAGACACAGCUGUGUAUUACUGCGCUCGUUACAGAUUGCAAAAGGGAUUCCAGUUUUGGGAUGCUUCACCAUCUCCAGAGACAACAGUAAGAAGCAGGUGUAUCUCAGGAUAAACAGCAAGAGGACAGAAAACACUGCAGUUUAUUUUUGUAACCAUGUACCACAGUGAUACUUGCCCUUAGACAUCAGGACAAAAACACAUACUUGCUUUAGUCACAUGACAAACCCACAUUUUCAAAAGCAGUGGAUUCAUGGAAGUCAACAAGCCAAAUGUUUACAGUGUCUUUGACUUACAUGCUGACUUUUACUGGACUGCUGUGAACAUUGUCUGGACUGUGAUACAAUACUUUUGUAAGAUUAUUUAAUUCAUGUCUGAAUAUACACAAUACCACAGCACCAUAAUACACAUGGGUUUGAAAUUGACAUUGAUAUUAAAUUCUUUAAGUCUGUAAUGAGCUUCUGUCAGUAUUGAAGUUCUCCUUUCAUACUGUUUUGAAGUGUGAGACCUAUGCAAGUAGUUGUUCACAAAACUAAGAAAGAGAGCUCAAUGUCAUUAUCAAUGAGACUCAUACUGAUCUCUAUGACUCGCCUCUGUGUUUAGAAGAUCAUCUGAAACAAGCAAUAUUUCCUGAUUUUUUUUAUUAUAUGGAGACUAAUAAA